GUCCAUUUUGUGAUACGUAGUAACAACUGGAGACUGCCAUUUUCCAUCUGCUCAGCACGGCCCAUCAUCUAGUUCUGCUGGAAGAAGAGACUGCAGUAAUACUUGCAUUUUCCAUUUAGCCAGUUCAGCCAGAUGUUCAUGCAUAUUUUAUUAGAAGAAAGAUUUAUUUGCAUAGUACAUGCUGGAGUGAAGUAAAUGGACUGGAUGGUUCUGGACUACAGAACAAAACGAACCACCUGGACUUUGUAAUACAAAGAAGCAAUUAUGAUGAUCCUGCAAAGUGGCUUGUUAACCUGUGUGGUGGGGAUGGCUUCCACAGAGAGAGUCAACAGAAGACAAUCCUCUAAUAAUUUUUAUCUUGGCAGCCUUUUAAAGUGCAACAUAUGUAUAAAUAAAUGCC